CUAUCCCCUGAUUUCAGUAGUAUCUUGGCAUGAGGAGCAAAUAAAGAGGUGUAGGUAUCAAAAUGCCAAGGUAGGCUCCUCGAUCUUGGAUUUUUUUGAGGUCAGCUAGAAUUAUUCUCUGGCCGAUCUCCAUGGUCUUCUUCUUGAGGCCGUUUUUUUUAUUUUUCUCUUUCUUUGCUUGCUGAGUUAUACUUUCUUUCUCCUUGGCUUGAGCAUGUUUUCGGAUCCGAGCUAGCAUUUGAUCAUAGGCAUCCAGAAAAAUUCUUAUUCAGGAAGAAGAUCAGGUGACUACUUUGAAGUCUUUG
rnacentral:lncRNA from 1 species